GAAAUGCGAUAAGUAGUGUGAAUUGCAGAAUUCAGUGAAUCAUCGAAUCUUUGAACGCACAUUGCGCCCUUUGGUAUUCCUUAGGGCAUGCCUGUUCGAGCGUCAUCUAAACCUUCAAGCCCUGCUUGGUGUUGGGUGCCUGUCCCGCCUCCGCGCGCGGACUCACCUCAAAUCCAUUGGCGGCCCCCGCGUCGGCCACGAGCGCAGCAGAAACGCGAACUCGUGAGCCCGCCCGGGCGGCUCCCAGAAGCUACACCCACCCAGUUUGACCUCGGAUCAGGUAGGGAUACCCGCUGAACUUAGGC
rnacentral:misc_RNA from 1 species